GCCGUUGUACUUUAACUUUUAAAAGACCUGAUUUGCAUUCAGAAAAUGAAGCGUACCGCUUCCAACGCCA
rnacentral:tRNA from 1 species